CUCUGAGCCCAGAGCCUAGUGAGCUUCUCGAUGGAGUCGGAGGUAUUGAUGGCUGUGUGAUGGACUGGACCUGCGCAUCCUUCAACUUGUUGUGGCACAUGGGCUCAGUAGUUGCAGCAUGAAAGCUUCCAGAAUGCGCAGGCUUCAACAGUUGUGGCACACAGGCUUAGCUGCUCUGCACCAUGUGGGAUCUUAGUUCCCGGACCGCAGAAUGAACUCCUGUAUCCCGCAUUUCAAGCUACCUGCCAUUUUGGAGAGGUCCACAUGACAAGGAACUGAGACCAGUCAAUGCCGACAAGGAGCUGAGGCCCUCUGUUCAAGUGCCCAGGAGAAAUUGAG
ensembl:lncRNA